AUGUACUGCAUACUACAUCUACAUACUGCAUACUACAUACCACAUAUACUGCAUACUACAUCUACAUACUACAUCUACAUACUGCAUACUACAUACCACAUGUACUGCAUGCUACAUCUACAUACUACAUACUACAUCUACAUACUACAUACUACAUACUACAUGUACUACAUCUACAUACUACAUCUACAUGCUACAUCUACAUACUGCAGGUACUGCAUACUACAUCUAUAUAUUUCAUACUACAUCUACUACAUACUACAUACUACAUCUAUAUACUGCAUGUACUGCAUACUACAUCUACAUAUUUCAUACUACAUCUACUACAUACUACAUACUACAUCUAUAUACUGCAUGUACUGCAUACUACAUCUACAUACUGCAUGUACUGCACACUACAUCUACAUACUACAUACUACAUCUACAUAUACAUACUACAUACUACAUACUACAUACUACAUCUACAUACUGCAUGUACUACAUACUACAUCUAGAUACUACAUCUACAUACUGCAUCUACAUACUACAUACUACAUACUACAUCUACAGACUGCAUGUACUGCAUACUACAUACAACAUACCACAUCUACAUACUGCAUGUACUGCAUACUAUAUACUACAUCUACAUACAGCAUGUACUGCAUUCUACAUACCACGUUAACUGCAUACUACAUCUACAUACUGCAUACUACAUCUACAUACUGCAUGUACGGCAUACUACAUAUACAUAUGUCAUACUACAUCUACUACAUACUACAUCUACAUACUACAUCUAUAUACUGCAUACUACAUCGACAUACUACAUCUUCAUACUACAUCUACAUACUACAUCUACAUACUACAUCUAUAUACUGCAUACUACAUCUACAUACUGCAUCUACAUACUACAUACUACAUCUACAUACUGCAUCUACAUACUACAUCUACAUACUGCAUGUACUACAUACUACAUCUACAUACUACAUCUACAUCAUGCAUGUACUACAUACUGCAUCUACAUACUACAUCUACAUACUGCAUCUACAUACUACAUACUACAUCUACAUACUGCAUCUACAUACUACAUACUACAUCUACAUACUGCAUGUACUACAUACUACAUCUACAUACUACAUCUACAUCAUGCAUGUACUACAUACUGCAUCUACAUACUACAUCUACAUACUGCAUCUACAUACUACAUACUACAUCUACAUACUACAUACUGCAUGUACUACAUACUACAUCUACAUACUACAUCUACAUCAUGCAUGUACUACAUACUGCAUCUACAUACUACAUCUACAUACUGCAUCUACAUACUACAUACCGCAUCUACAUACUGCAUGUACUGCAUACUACAUACUACAUGUACUGCAUACUACAUCUACAUACUACAUGUACUACAUACUACAUGUACUGCAUACUACAUCUACAUACUACAUGUACUACAUCUAUAUACUACAUCUACAUACUACAUACUACAUCUACAUACUACAUCUACAUAAUACAUGUACUGCAUACUACAUCUACAUACUACAUGUACUACAUGUACUACAUACUACAUCUAUAUACUACAUACUACAUAUAUAUACUACAUACUACAUCUACAUCUAUAUACUGCAUGUACUGCAUACUACAUCUACAUACUACAUGUCUUGCAUACUACAUCUACAUAUUUCAUACCACAUCUACUACAUACUGCAUCCAUAUACUGCAUGUACUACAUACUACAUCUACAUACUGCAUGUACUGCACACUACAUCUACAUACUACAUACUACAUGUACUGCAUACUACAUCUACAUCUACAUACUGCAUAUACUACAUACUGCAUGUACUACAUACUACAUCUACAUAA
rnacentral:lncRNA from 1 species